rnacentral:lncRNA from 1 species
AGACACUGGGAUGGCUGCACCUUUACCCGUCCUCUCCAACUCUCUCCACCUAGAAAGUAUUCUUUUCUCUUAAUUUUGUUAGAGUUAUAUAGGAAUGCUCCUUCAGCAGAAAUGACAGAGGCUGUUGCUCUCAGAAUCAAAUGCAAUAAUGUGACCUGUAAAUUCCUGUGAAUAUUUGGAUAUUUUAGCGAUAUUUGUUUAUUCAGAAGAGAUUCUGGAUGCAGAACUCUCCUCCUCUCUGUUCUCUAACCCUGCUUUCCACCAUCAUUCUUCUCUCUCUAGGGCACAGAGAGAAUUAAGAACAACCUAAGGGUCAUUACAAUGAUCUAACUGCCUUACCUGCUUUUGAACUGGUUGAGCCUCUUGUGGGACCGAAAACAAAAGAAGGGUGUUGAAAUGCAAAUAGAUAACUCUGGGUCCCAGUCCCUGACUGCAAAAGGAAGCCAAAACUGACAACAACGUCUCCUUCUCUACGGAGGUUUGUAGAAAGGCUGUACAAAAAUCUCACAAGAUGUAUUUCUUCUCGUGGACUGGAGUCCCAAGGUGCUUAAGAGCUCUUCAAUUUGUUAAUGGAAAGAAACACCAUUUACACCGGAUGGCUACAAAGCAACCUUAUUCUGAUCUUUUCUCAGAAUAGCAGUCUGUAGGCUGUCACCUAAAGUGUCCUGUUUUCAGUGCUGCACCUGCUCUGAGCUUCAUCUUUUUACGAAGACGUCAUGGUGUGCUAUCUGUACUGGGAAACUUUCCCCAGCAUCAGCCAUCUCCUGAAGAUAACAUUGUCUGCUAGAGAUUGUCAUGUAUGUGGAUUGAAUCUCUUUAUCUUCCAGGUCCUCUUUCUGUGCCCCCAGCCCGGUUGACAAUGUGUGCCUUCACUCACCCAAUUAGAAACCUUGGAGGUAUCCUGUACUCUUCUGUCACUUACCCUCAGCCUAAAGCCAAUCAGUCACCAAAGUAUUGUCUGUCAUUAUCAUCAUCAUCAUCAUCAUCACUGUCACCACUGAUGGAGUGAGAACCUUGUGCAGUUGAGCAUGAACCCCAAUUUCAUUUGCAAAAUGACCCAGACAGCAGAUUUCAUCUCAUAUGAAAUAAGCAAGGUGAGGUUUUGAUGACGUUACAGACAUGGCUAAGAAGAGGUUGAGAACCAGCAUUCAGCCCACCUGACUCCAAAGCUCAUGCCCCGAACCUCAGAAACUUCUCCAGUGA